GUGGGGAAUCUUCCGCAAUGGGCGAAAGCCUGACGGAGCAACGCCGCGUGAGUGAAGACGGCCUUCGGGUCGUAAAGCCCUGUUAUAUGGGACGAACGUAUCUAUGGCCAAUACCCAUAGAUAGUGACGGUACCGUAAGAGAAAGCCACGGCUAACUACGUGCCAGCAGCCGCGGUAAUACGUAGGUGGCAAGCGUUGUCCGGAAUUAUUGGGCGUAAAGGGCGCGCAGGCGGCCGGUCAAGUCUGUCUUAAAAGUGCGGGGCUCAACCCCGUGAUGGGACGGAAACUGGCAGGCUGGAGUGUCGGAGAGGAAAGCAGAAUUCCUAGUGUAGCGAUGAAAUGCGUAGAUAUUAGGAGGAAUACCAGUGGCGAAAGCGGCUUUCUGGACGACAACUGACGCUGAGGCGCGAAAGCCAGGGGAGCAAACGGGAUUAGAUACUCCGGUAGUCC
rnacentral:rRNA from 1 species